CGCGAUUGGAUGAACCCAGGUGGGAUUAGCUAGUUGGUGAGGUAAUGGCUCACCAAGGCGACGAUCCCUAGCUGUUCUGAGAGGAUGAUCAGCCACACUGGGACUGAGACACGGCCCAGACUCCUACGGGAGGCAGCAGUGGGGAAUAUUGCACAAUGGGGGAAACCCUGAUGCAGCCAUGCCGUGUGUGUGAAGAAGGCCUUCGGGUUGUAAAGCACUUUCAGUAGGGAGGAAAGGUAGCAGCUUAAUACGCUGUUGCUGUGACGUUACCUACAGAAGAAGGACCGGCUAACUCCGUGCCAGCAGCCGCGGUAAUACGGAGGGUCCGAGCGUUAAUCGGAAUUACUGGGCGUAAAGCGUGCGCAGGCGGUUUGUUAAGCGAGAUGUGAAAGCCCCGGGCUCAACCUGGGAAUUGCAUUUCGAACUGGCGAACUAGAGUCUUGUAGAGGGGGGUAGAAUUCCAGGUGUAGCGGUGAAAUGCGUAGAGAUCUGGAGGAAUACCGGUGGCGAAGGCGGCCCCCUGGACAAAGACUGACGCUCAGGCACGAAAGCGUGGGGAGCAAACAGGAUUAGAUACCCCGGUAGUCCACGCCGUAAACGAUGUCUACUCGGAAUUUGGUGCCUU
rnacentral:rRNA from 1 species